UACGUAGGGUGCGAGCGUUAAUCGGAAUUACUGGGCGUAAAGCGUGCGCAGGCGGGUUUGUAAGCCAGAUGUGAAAUCCCCGGGCUUAACCUGGGAAUGGCAUUUGGGACUGCAAGGCUAGAGUGUGGCAGAGGAGACUGGAAUUCCUGGUGUAGCAGUGAAAUGCGUAGAUAUCAGGAGGAAUACCGAUGGCGAAGGCAGGUCUCUGGGCUAACACUGACGCUCAUGCACGAAAGCGUGGGGAGCAAACAGG
rnacentral:rRNA from 1 species